rnacentral:rRNA from 1 species
UGAGGGGGGCUGCUCCUAGUACGAGAGGACCGGAGUGGACGCAUCACUGGUGUUCGGGUUGUCAUGCCAAUGGCACUGCCCGGUAGCUAAAUGCGGAAGAGAUAAGUGCUGAAAGCAUCUAAGCACGAAACUUGCCCCGAGAUGAGUUCUCCCUGACUCCUUGAGAGUCCUGAAGGAACGUUGAAGACGACGACGUUGAUAGGCCGGAUGUGUAAGCGCAGCGAUGCGUUGAGCUAACCGGUACUAAUGAACCGUGAGGCUUAACCUU